UCCUUCCUUGUUCUUGAUAUGUGCUGUGUUCUUCUACAUCUCUAGCUCCAGUUAAUCAAUGUCACCCUUUUCCUCGGAUAAACAACAGCAGCUCACAACUUCUUCUCGGCUUCUAAAUCUUGUUUCUCGAAUUCAACAUAACCCAAAAUCACCUGCAAUUGUUUCUUCCUGUAAACCCUAAAAUCAUCACAGACUCAAAAUCAUCACAUAUUCAAAAUCAUCUAACAAUCUCGAUUAAUCUCAGCUUCUUCUCGAACAAUUGUGGAAAUAGACUAUCCUUCUUCCCUGUAAUUCCAUGGAAUACGCUCAAAUAUCCAUUGCAAAUACGAAUUCUACCAUCAUCGAAACCCUAAUCAGUUUGAAUCUUGAGCAUAAAUCCACAAACUCGAGUUAUAAUCAAAGGUAUGGAGUUUGGGUCUGACUUAUUUAAUUAUUUGGAUAUGAGUUUUGUGCCAGUCUGGACAGAGUUAUCUUUGAAAGCAAAACACUGAAGAAACAAGCAUUGCUGCCAUUGAAUUUAUGGCUGAAUGCUGGAAAUGAAAGAGGUUUGUGAAGAGUCUGUGAGGAAUUAUGAGUUGGGUUCUCACUGGAUUCGAGUAUACAGUGAGUUAUGAGAAGAUUUAAUGAAGAUUUGAUUAAGAGAAACCAUCCAGAGAAGUAAAGCUACUGCCAUAAGUUUUGGCAGUUAACUAUGAAGAUUUAUGAAUGCUUCGAAUAUAUGGGUUUGAGCUAUACUUGUAUUGUGCAGGGAAAGAGAUAGAAAUGAUCUUAGAAAUCAAGAUGGAGUUCAACUGUGAAGUGCCAGUAAACUGCACACAGGUUGUUUGUAGAAAGGCUUAAACCAAUUAUCGGGAGAAGUUGAACUGCGGGAAGAGACGUUAUGAAGCUACAGAGGUAUCGGCAGUAUUGGUGUUCUUAUUUGUUGUUGGUGGUGCAUUGGCUAGGUUUGAAGUGUUGGGCUACAAGAGCUGAGAAUAGUGGUGAUGUUCUGAAUGGACAGAAACGGGAUAUUUUCCAGCAAUUUGGUUUUGGUGAGUUAUGUUGCUCAGAUGUGUGGGUUAUUGUUAUAGAGAAGAGCCGGUGCUAGCCAUGGUCAUGAUGGAAGUUGGUGUAUGAAUGGAAGUUGCUGAGAUGAUCUGUGUAACAAUAACCCACCAUGGCAUAAUAUUAGGUGUUAGAUGAUUUUAACUCUGAAUUGAUGACCUAGGGUUAUUUGGGUCCUCUAUAAUUUAUCGAGGGUUGGAUAGUUUUGGUUACUGGAAUUCGUGAAGAAGAUCAAGAAGAUGAUCUACAUACUGUAUUUGAGUUUGGGGAAGUGUGAAGAAUUUGCAUCUGAAUCUUGAUCGCAGGACUGGAUUUGUAAAGGGAUAUGCAUUGAUGGAAUUUGAGAAGAUGUGGAACUUCUAACACAGAUCAUCUCAGUUGACUGGGCCUUCAGCAGCUUCCAUCGUGAAUUUGGUGACCAUGGGGUGUUUUGCGAUAGUGCUAUGGACACAAUAUUCCAGUAAAUGUAACCUUCAAAACUUUGGAAAUUUCAUAUUCAGUUGAAGUUUCAUCUUGUUUUUGCGCAUCCAAAUCUAAGAUAGACUAAGAGCUUCAUCAUACUUGCGAGAAUUAGACACUAAUGAUUGCAGUACUAUCAGAGAUUACUUCUGGGCUGUAGUCUAUCAAUUAAGAUUUUUUAUGAGUUCUACUUUUUA